rnacentral:rRNA from 1 species
AAAAACAUAACCAGAGGUAAUCUUCUUUGGCUUCUUCUGCUCAAUGAUACUAAAUAGCCGCAGUACUCUGACUGUGCAAAGGUAGCAUAAUAAUUUGGCUUAUAAUUGAAGUCUAGUAUCAAUGAAUGUAUGGGGAGUAACUCUAUCAGUGUUGUAUAGGAAAUUACUUAUUACGUGCAAAUACGUAUAAUAAAAUAAUAGACGAGAAGACCCUAGAAAUUUUAACAAUUUUCUCUCCGUUUUUGCUGGGGCGGCAAAGUAACAAAAAAACUUACUUUCAUAACACGAAGGUUAUAUUCAGUGUGAACAAAUUACUCUAGGGAUAACAGCAUAAUUUACUAUAAGUUUGUGACCUCGAUGUUGGAUUAGGUAUUUAAAAUUUAGAAGACUAUUAAUCUUGCUCUGUUCGAGCAUUCGCACCUACGUGAUCU